UGCUCUUCUACCUCCAAUGACAGGGCUGC
rnacentral:piRNA from 1 species